GUCUACGGCCAUACCACCCUGAACGCGCCCGAUCUCGUCUGAUCUCGGAAGCUAAGCAGGGUCGGGCCUGGUUAGUACUUGGAUGGGAGACUGCCUGAGAAUAACGGUAGGCUUUAAAAA
rnacentral:rRNA from 1 species